AAAACAAACCAGAAAAGAACUUCAUCAGACUUUAACUCAAUCCUUGCACAGCAAUUUAAUGGAAAUCACACAAUAGCCAAGGUAAUCAACUUCUAUUUAGCAGCUCAUACAAGUAAUUCAACAUCAAAGCAUGUCCUGCUGGACUGUGUUCAUCUGUAGUGCAAAUCUCUAUUUUUAGCUACUUCCACUACUGUUUCAGUGGAUUUGUUUCAGGAUAUAUCACCAGGGUAACAGGAAUACAACUGGAAAUACAACGUGCAACUCCCACAGACUACAUCACAAGCUGAGCAUGAUCUUUACUUAGGAUCAAUUCUGUAGUUAUUAGGGAACAUCCUUUCCCUACCCCCUUGAAGAUCUUUGGCCAGGACUGAGGUGGAAUAACAAUUUUCUCAAGUAUUCCAUCCAUUUCAGCCCCUUCUGCACCCUCCUCAGUACUUUAAGGGUCCUGAAGCCAAGGUGAUCCCACUGUCACCAUUUCAGACAAACCAUAUUCUCCCAGCGGGUUGUCUCAUGAGUAAUUAUCCUUAUACUGGGGGAGGAUUUAAUCAUCUUACCACUGUGAAAAAAAUCAAACGUGAUCUUCAAUACCAAGAUCUUGUCCAAUCUAGGAAGACUGGAAGGAUCAAGACUGGCUUGGAAAGAUGAAGAUGUGACUAGCAGUACAGACACCCGCUAAAUCAUCACCUCCAGCAGCUGUAUUUCUAGAAUGCUACUGAAUUUCUAGUGUGCUACUGGAAUGACUGGUUACAAUCUGUCACCCCAGGAUUCCUGCCUCUAUGGCUGCACCAAUGGGAAUAACUUCAUCUGGAGGAAUUGAAUUCAGUAAUUCCACAGUUGGAAAAAUGUCUUUGAUCAGCUGCUGUAGCUUUGGGAUUCGAGCAGACCCACCACACAGGACUACCUGGAAAACAUGCCUGAAUCAUUUCAAGUCCUUCUUCUGACAGAUAAGAGACAGAUCAUAACUUGCAACACAGAAAUGCAGACAGCUCUGGGGUAUUUUACCAUCUGCAAGUGUUAGAAAUAAAACUGAUGCCAUCUUUGCCUGA